rnacentral:rRNA from 1 species
UACGAAGGGGGCUAGCGUUGCUCGGAAUCACUGGGCGUAAAGGGUGCGUAGGCGGGUUCUUAAGUCAGAGGUGAAAUCCUGGAGUUCAACUCCAGAACUGCCUUUGAUACUGAGAGUCUUGAGUUCGGGAGAGGUGAGUGGAACUGCGAGUGUAGAGGUGAAAUUCGUAGAUAUUCGCAAGAACACCAGUGGCGAAGGCGGCUCACUGGCCCGAUACUGACGCUGAAGCACGAAAGCGUGGGGAGCAAACAGG